rnacentral:rRNA from 1 species
AUUGAACGCUGGCGGCAUGCCUUACACAUGCAAGUCGAACGGCAGCACGGGUGCUUGCACCUGGUGGCGAGUGGCGAACGGGUGAGUAAUACAUCGGAACAUGUCCUGUAGUGGGGGAUAGCCCGGCGAAAGCCGGAUUAAUACCGCAUACGAUCUACGGAUGAAAGCGGGGGACCUUCGGGCCUCGCGCUAUAGGGUUGGCCGAUGGCUGAUUAGCUAGUUGGUGGGGUAAAGGCCUACCAAGGCGAUGAUCAGUAGCUGGUCUGAGAGGACGACCAGCCACACUGGGACUGAGACACGGCCCAGACUCCUACGGGAGGCAGCAGUGGGGAAUUUUGGACAAUGGGCGAAAGCCUGAUCCAGCAAUGCCGCGUGUGUGAAGAAGGCCUUCGGGUUGUAAAGCACUUUUGUCCGGAAAGAAAUCCUUGGCCCUAAUACGGUCGGGGGAUGACGGUACCGGAAGAAUAAGCACCGGCUAACUACGUG